UUUUAUAUUUCUACUUCUUUCUGUUUUAAAUCAUUUUAGUCAAAGGAGGGGACACUGAUUAUUGCCCGUAUAGUUUACCUGGUUAUUUUCUGAAUGAGGUUUGUCUCCACAAAGGCACAUCCAGCCACAUGAAAUCCUGCAGGAUGGUGUUAUUCUUCAUCUUUUUCUUAUUUGAAGUGCACUGAUGCUAUUUCAGAUGAAUGCCAAUAACAGCCCAAGAUCAUUUACAAGCCCACAGGAUACUGGGAGCUUUGCUAAGACCACACCUUGGAUUGAUUGUGACAAAAAAUUGUUGAUGAAUUCUGGGACUAGGAGAGGAUCCAGCCACAUUUAGGCUCCUUAUCUCCAUGGUUCGAGGAGUUUAGGAAGUAAGUGGGUCCACUCUGAACCUUGUGACUCAAUGGGAGUGCCCUGUAUGUGUGUGUUUAACCCCACCCUCUAUGCAGAACAUCAAGCGUAUCCAGCCAUCUUAAUUCUUGUUAAUGUUGUGAUUUAACAGCAACUUAUAUUAUGUCAGUAAACAUCUUCCUGUUCCUCUUCUAUGAACAAAGAAUAUAGUGCAGUUGUUUCCAUCUGCCACGCCACAACAGGAGAUGGCAUCUGCUGGGGAUUGCUUCUCCAGGACAUAUGUAAGAAAGUGUUGGAAACCUUCCCAAGAUGAUGAUGAUGAUUAGAAGUAGUAGUAGCAUGUACUUUCUCCCUUGUGCAAUCACCUAGUCCUUUAAGAGGACUCCAGCACAGAUACUCAGUGUUGGGACUGAAUGGACACCCAACAGGGCGAGGUUGCUAUGGCUGUUCCCUAUUGCCCCUAGAAAGUGGAAGCAAAUAAACCAAGUAUAACCACAGAGUGUGGAUAAGCACUUUGCAGGUCUGUAACAAUUCCAGUAGCAAAAGGCACUUGAUAAGCCAGCAGGGCAUAAACACACAGAGAAUGGGCAAGCAGGAAGGCGCAGAUGGCUGCAUGCUUGAUGUAUGGGUAGCAAGAACAAGAAGUAAACAAGAGUACAACAACAGCAGAUGAGGGCUCCUCCUUUCCAUUCAAGAGAAGAAGAAAACACCAACACAGAAUGAAGAAAAAUGAAGGAAUAAAGGUGUACCACACCACUGGUUUCCCACCUCAAGUAGUACUCAGAGUCCUGUUCUUUGGAAGUUGCGCAAGCCACAGAGUAUCAACACUCCUCUAUUUUAUACUCACAGAUAAUUUAGGAUGAGUCUUUUGAAGACUACUUGUGUGUUGAUGUGAUGUAUACUGUUAAUAAAUGUCAAUCCAGUGAAGUGCUACUUUGAAAC
rnacentral:lncRNA from 7 species